UACGUAGGGGGCUAGCGUUGUCCGGAUUUAUUGGGCGUAAAGCGUGCGCAGGCGGUUUGCUAAGACAGGUGUGAAAUCCCCGGGCUUAACCUGGGAACUGCGCUUGUAACUGGCAAGCUAGAGUGUGGCGGAGGGGGGUGGAAUUCCAGGUGUAGCAGUGAAAUGCGUAGAGAUCUGGAGGAACACCGAUGGCGAAGGCAGCCCCCUGGGCUAACACUGACGCUCAUGCACGAAAGCGUGGGGAGCAAACAGG
rnacentral:rRNA from 1 species